GAGGAAUAUUGGUCAAUGGGUGCAAGCCUGAACCAGCCAUCCCGCGUGAAGGACGACUGCCCUAUGGGUUGUAAACUUCUUUUGUAUAGGGAUAAACCUACCCUCGUGAGGGUAGCUGAAGGUACUAUACGAAUAAGCACCGGCUAACUCCGUGCCAGCAGCCGCGGUAAUACGGAGGGUGCAAGCGUUAUCCGGAUUUAUUGGGUUUAAAGGGUCCGUAGGCGGACUUAUAAGUCAGUGGUGAAAGCCUGUCGCUUAACGAUAGAACUGCCAUUGAUACUGUAAGUCUUGAGUAUAAUUGAGGUAGCUGGAAUAAGUAGUGUAGCGGUGAAAUGCAUAGAUAUUACUUAGAACACCAAUUGCGAAGGCAGGUUACCAAGUUAUAACUGACGCUGAGGGACGAAAGCGUGGGGAGCGAAC
rnacentral:rRNA from 1 species